GACGAACGCUGGCGGCGUGCCUAAUACAUGCAAGUCGAACGAACUCUGGUAUUGAUUGGUGCUUGCAUCAUGAUUUACAUUUGAGUGAGUGGCGAACUGGUGAGUAACACGUGGGAAACCUGCCCAGAAGCGGGGGAUAACACCUGGAAACAGAUGCCAAUACCGCAUAACAACUUGGACCGCAUGGUCCGAGUUUGAAAGAUGGCUUCGGCUAUCACUUUUGGAUGGUCCCGCGGCGUAUUAGCUAGAUGGUGGGGUAACGGCUCACCAUGGCAAUGAUACGUAGCCGACCUGAGAGGGUAAUCGGCCACAUUGGGACUGAGACACGGCCCAAACUCCUACGGGAGGCAGCAGUAGGGAAUCUUCCACAAUGGACGAAAGUCUGAUGGAGCAACGCCGCGUGAGUGAAGAAGGGUUUCGGCUCGUAAAACUCUGUUGUUAAAGAAGAACAUAUCUGAGAGUAACUGUUCAGGUAUUGACGGUAUUUAACCAGAAAGCCACGGCUAACUACGUGCCAGCAGCCGCGGUAAUACGUAGGUGGCAAGCGUUGUCCGGAUUUAUUGGGCGUAAAGCGAGCGCAGGCGGUUUUUUAAGUCUGAUGUGAAAGCCUUCGGCUCAACCGAAGAAGUGCAUCGGAAACUGGGAAACUUGAGUGCAGAAGAGGACAGUGGAACUCCAUGUGUAGCGGUGAAAUGCGUAGAUAUAUGGAAGAACACCAGUGGCGAAGGCGGCUGUCUGGUCUGUAACUGACGCUGAGGCUCGAAAGUAUGGGUAGCAAACAGGAUUAGAUACCCUGGUAGUCCAUACCGUAAACGAUGAAUGCUAAGUGUUGGAGGGUUUCCGCCCUUCAGUGCUGCAGCUAACGCAUUAAGCAUUCCGCCUGGGGAGUACGGCCGCAAGGCUGAAACUCAAAGGAAUUGACGGGGGCCCGCACAAGCGGUGGAGCAUGUGGUUUAAUUCGAAGCUACGCGAAGAACCUUACCAGGUCUUGACAUACUAUGCAAAUCUAAGAGAUUAGACGUUCCCUUCGGGGACAUGGAUACAGGUGGUGCAUGGUUGUCGUCAGCUCGUGUCGUGAGAUGUUGGGUUAAGUCCCGCAACGAGCGCAACCCUUAUUAUCAGUUGCCAGCAUUAAGUUGGGCACUCUGGUGAGACUGCCGGUGACAAACCGGAGGAAGGUGGGGAUGACGUCAAAUCAUCAUGCCCCUUAUGACCUGGGCUACACACGUGCUACAAUGGAUGGUACAACGAGUUGCGAACUCGCGAGAGUAAGCUAAUCUCUUAAAGCCAUUCUCAGUUCGGAUUGUAGGCUGCAACUCGCCUACAUGAAGUCGGAAUCGCUAGUAAUCGCGGAUCAGCAUGCCGCGGUGAAUACGUUCCCGGGCCUUGUACACACCGCCCGUCACACCAUGAGAGUUUGUAACACCCAAAGUCGGUGGGGUAACCUUUUAGGAACCAGCCGCCUAAGGUGGGACAGAUGAUUAGGGUG
rnacentral:rRNA from 2 species